UGUGCCCAGCUGAGCACAAAGUCUUGCUUUGCACAUUUUAACCCACUCAAUCCUUAUAAUAUGCAUGCAGGUGGAUGUUAUUGUGCCCACUUUAUAGUGGAGGAGACGGCAAAGCUUCUGGUGAUAAAGGAACCUGCCCAAGCCCACGUGCUGGCAACCCGCAAAGGCAGGAGUCACACCCAGUUGUGUCUGACUCCCAAGUCUCAUUCUUGGUCUCCCGCUGGGUGAGGAGGCAGUCACAGACCUAAUCCCUGCCCUCACAGAGUUUACAAUCUAGUGUUGCCGUCCCAGUUCUCAAAUAAGCACCACUGGGAAGUGUUCUUGAGUCUGAUCCGAAUCCCUCCUGCUGCAGCUCUGACUCGGCCUUUCUUCCUUAGGACCUCAGUGGGGCGGAGGAUCAGCUUUCAUCUCCUUGCAGACACCUGGGGUGCUCCCAUGAGUUCCCAGCCUUUUUUCCACCCCCACCUUGCACAGAGGCCUCCCCCACAGGAGAGAGUGAGAUGAGGGAACAAAGGUGGCAGAACUUGCACAAUCCUGCAGCUAAGAAGUAGAGGAGCAGAGAUCUGAACCAAGAGACAGUCCUCAAGGCUUGUGCUCCCAAGCACGUCCCUCCACUACCUCCCUUCACGAUACUCAGUGGCACGGGUUAGGACGCCAGGCAUGGAUGAUGUGCCCACUGACCUCAGGCCUUGAAUAACAAGGAUUUCACUGCACGUAGAAGUAGGGGUAGGGCACAGCCAAGCAGAGAAGGACACCAGGAGCACUCUGUGGACUCAAUCCUCCCCAGGCCCAAGAGAGCUGAGGCACGUUCUUCUCUGGCCCCCCAUGGCAGCUACAGCUUGAAGGGACUCAAGAUAAUCUGCAACCAACUUCCUCACUAGGGGUCUCUUUUGUUCACUGAACACCCCUUUCUCAAGCAAGGCUGGGUCCCUCAGCAAGCUCUGGUCACGAGCACCAGGAGAGACCAAGAAGUUGCAAACUUACAAUAAUGCCUACACAUCAAGCCUGUUGGAGACACCUUCACGGAAGAAAGUGCUUCCUACAGUCUAGGCUCAAUUCCCCACUCCUCUCCUGCUCCACCACGGCCCAGGGCUUCCCCCCAGCCUGGCACUUCAUGCCUAGGCCACUCUGAACUCCUAUAGUGCUAAGUGAACAAAAUCCUGCUUGCCCUUACCUUGAGGCCUUUGCAAAUGCUCUUCCAUCUUCCUAGUGCUGUCCCUCAACUCAGCCUGAAGUGGCUCUUCCUUAUAAGGCCAGCCCCAAUGGCCCCUCCUCCUAAAUACCUUCCUGCGACAUUAACACAGGUAGGAAAGACUCGGAGCUUCCAUCCACGUGGUCACUGGCUCUGUCCAUCUGCCCCCAGGGGUGUCAUGUUUGGUAGGGCCAGUGAACGGCUGCUGAAUGAAUGAAUGAUGAGUCCUGAUCUCCCUCCUCUGUUCCCUCUCCCUGGAUGACUUCACUCACUCACCUAUGGGAGAGUCAGAGGCUGACAGUGCCUCUGCCUCCAAUUCCCCCUCUUGUCCUCUGAGACCCUCCCUUUCACACGUACAGCCCACUCUCAUAAAACCAAGAGACUCACAGCCCUUCUGCAUUGGUAGGAAGUUCUUCCUGCUGUCUGUCCUCACUCCCUUAUUUGACCAUGCCUGCUUCUUUAUCAUUAUUUUUGGAGAGGAGUCAGGGCCUGCACCCAUCUCAGAUUUUUGUUAAUAAAGGCUGCGCAUUUCUCCCACUCUCUGCCUAGAUGUGUUCUUGCCACUCCUGGAUCAUUGUGCCCCAGCCUGGCCCUACUUCAGGGGACAGUGACACAGGACGGAGAAAGGACAUAAGGCCAGGCUGGGUAGCCUGGAGUUGCUGGGCCCUGCGGAGAAGACCCAGGACAGAUAUAACCACCACAAGGGAAGGGCUGCCCAGGAGGGAAGAGAUGAACAUCCUAUGUCCGGGGGUAUACAAACAGCAGGCUGGAUAGAUCUGCAGGGCAAGUUGUAGAGAGUACUAAAACAACUGCUAGAAAAUGACCCAAACGCCCUUACUGUCUUCUCCCACCCAGAGGCUGCACUGAGUCAGGUGCCUAGCCCUGUGCCUUUCCUACCCACCUUCACAAACUGUUCCCUCUGCUCUUCCCUGCCUGGGUGAUUCCUACCCAUCCUUCAAGGUCCGGCUCAAAUGUCUCUUCCUCUGAAGCCCAGGCUUGCUGUGGGCCCCCCACCUCCUACACAGCACUGCUCACCCUGUAGGGUUGCAGCUUUCCAUUUCUUUCUCCUUCAUCAGACUGGGCACUCCCUGAGAACAGGGACUCAGUCAGUGUCUGCUCUGUGUCCCCGGUGACAAGCCAAGUGGGCACCAAGCAGCUACUGAGAAGUUCCUGUUGAGUGGUUGAAUGAAUGAAUGCAGCAAUGGAAUCAUGCUGAGUCGGGAGAUUUCAUAGGCCCAAGCAGCAGAAGCCCGGGGAGCGCAGGCCUGGCCUGACAGCAGCAUGGCUGAGGGUGAGACUCCCAGUCCAUUAA
rnacentral:lncRNA from 1 species